CUCAGUAACACGUGGACAAUCUGCCCUAAGGUGGGGAAUAAUCUCGGGAAACUGAGCAUAAUGCCCCAUAGAUCAUGGAUGCUGGAAUGCUUCAUGGUCAAAAGCUCCGGCGCCUUAGGAUGAGUCUGCGGCCUAUCAGGUAGUAGUGGGUGUAAAUGACCCACUAGCCACUGACGGGUACGGGCGUUGGGAGACGUCGCCCGGAGAUGGAUUCUGAGACACGAAUCCAGGCCCUACGGGGCGCAGCAGUUACGAAAACUUGGCAAUGCGGGAAACCGCGACCAGGGAAUUCCAAGUGCAUGCACAUUGUGUAUGCUGUUCCAUUGUCUUAAAAACAUAGGAAGUAAGGGCUGGGUAAGACCGGUGCCAGCCGCCGCGGUAAUACCUGCAGCCCGAGUGGUGGUCGAUAUUAUUGAGCCUAAAGCGUCCGUAGCCGGACCAGUAAAUUCUUGGGUAAAUCGGACAGCUUAACUGUCCGACUUCCGAGGAGACUGCUGGUCUUGGGACUGGGAGAGGUCAGAGGUACUCCAGGGGUAGGGGCUAAAUCCUGUAAUCCUUGGGGGACCACCAGUGGCGAAGGCGUCUGACUAGAACGGAUCCGACGGUAAGGGACGAAACCCUGGGUCGCAAACCGGAUUAGAUACCCGGGUAGUCCAGGGCGUAAACGCUGCAGGCUUGGUGUUGAGGAUCCUACGAGGAUGCUCAGUGCCGGAGUGAAGAUGUUAAGCCUGCCGCUUGGGGAGUACGUCCGCAAGGAUGAAACUAAAG
rnacentral:rRNA from 1 species